UACAGAGGGGGCAAGCGUUAUUCGGAAUUAUUGGGCGUAAAGAGCUCGUAGGCGGUUUGUCGCGUCUGCUGUGAAAACCCGAGGCUCAACCUCGGGCCUGCAGUGGGUACGGGCAGACUAGAGUGCGGUAGGGGAGAUUGGAAUUCCUGGUGUAGCGGUGGAAUGCGCAGAUAUCGAGAGGAACACCAGUGGCGAAGGCGAGUCCCUGGACAACACCUGACACUGAGGCACGAAAGCUAGGGGAGCAAACAGG
rnacentral:rRNA from 1 species